UGGGGAAUAUUGCACAAUGGGCGCAAGCCUGAUGCAGCCAUGCCGCGUGUAUGAAGAAGGCCUUCGGGUUGUAAAGUGCUUUCAGCGGGGAGGAAGGGAGUAAAGUUAAUACCUUUGCUCAUUGACGUUACCCGCAGAAGAAGCACCGGCUAACUCCGUGCCAGCAGCCGCGGUAAUACGGAGGGUGCAAGCGUUAAUCGGAAUUACUGGGCGUAAAGCGCACGCAGGCGGUUUGUUAAGUCAGAUGUGAAAUCCCCGGGCUCAACCUGGGAACUGCAUCUGAUACUGGCAAGCUUGAGUCUCGUAGAGGGGGGUAGAAUUCCAGGUGUAGCGGUGAAAUGCGUAGAGAUCUGGAGGAAUACCGGUGGCGAAGGCGGCCCCCUGGACGAAGACUGACGCUCAGGUGCGAAAGCGUGGGGAGCAAACAGG
rnacentral:rRNA from 2 species